rnacentral:rRNA from 1 species
CGACCCCAGGAUGGGUGGGAUCACCCGCCG